GCCGCCGGGGGAGGCGUAGAGGGGAUUAGGGGCCGGCGGGAUCAUGUGAGGGGGCGGUUUUGGCCGCUCUCCCCGGGCGCGCAGCGGCAAGGAGGCAGGGGGUGGGGAGCUCGCCUCCUGCUGCAGCCCAGGCCCGAUGCCGCCAGACCCGGGCUCGUUCUCCCGGCGGCUGGCGCCCCGGACUGCCUGUCCUGGGCCGAACGGGGGACGCCCCACGCUGGGGUGCUGCUGGCAGGUCAAUAAAGGGGGUCUUCCUACACAAGGUCUCUAGCACCAUCCCCUGGGUCUCUUCCAUAAAGCUCGAAGAUCAUGUCCUGUCUGUGCUUUGACUUUCUCCACAAUCAGGCAGUAUUUCCUUGUAUUACUCUAGUGUCAUCACUGGUGUGAGAAGUCUGUGGUAGCACCAGCUGGGAGCCACUGCAUCUGUUAUGAGCUUGCUGGGUUUAUUGAUAUGAAUUUUUCUAUCUGAAGAUUAGCCCAGUACAAGGUAGCCAGGUUUGUCUGUAACUUUCAAUUGACCUUGACUUUGCAAGUGCACUGAGACUUCUAUUCCAAAUAGAUAAAGUGAAGAAUAUUAUAACCAUCGCUUAUCAUCUGCAGUGUGUGUUGUGAUAGCUCAAGAGAUAAAAUCAUCUAAACUCAUAGUACCAAAACAUCUAUAUGUAAAUAACACCAGUUGUUUGUUCGCCAAUGUUUUAAUCUCUUCAUGUUUUCAUACAAUUAUGAAUUAGCGUUAGAAUAACAAUAAUUAUUGACAGGGAUCUCUGGAGAAAACUCACUGAUAGUUUUAUCCCUCUAAUAAAUUACCAAGUACCCAGUACGUGCUGAUGUUAUCCAGUGAAACAAAGUGUACAGUGUAAUAGGUUCUGUUGGUCUGGGGAGUCUUUCUGUUUUAGAAAUCGAUUGAUAAAAUACAGUGCAUUGCAGCAAUACCAUCCGUGUACUUUGGGUUUUGUCACUCUGCCUCAAUCUGGAAGAGUGCCCUUGCAUUUCUACAUGUCUUCAGCUUUCAGUGCAAUAGUUCUAGUCUCUAUCAGUAAUGCCGAUCUUAAUAGUUAUGUUCACUGUGUGCACUGGAACAUGCUCAUGGAAAUUUCCCCCUCACAGUCCCAGAAGUGGGGAGGCUUCAUCUGGCCAGAAGCGAAAGAAAAACCUUUGGCUCGUCUAAGGAUUGCACCCUUUGCUCCUCUCCUGGUGGAUACUCAGCCUCUUCUUGCAUUUGAGGAGGGGAGAAGGGGGCUCUGGCACCUGCAGGCACCUUCUAUGACUGGAGGACAACCCUGUCCACCCUCCACCUCCCCUUUGGCAUUAGAGUGAGGGGGACGUGGGGCCUUGCUGGGGGCAUCAUGUUAGUUGCCUUUUUGAAGCUGAGAAGGAAUUUUUCCUUCUGCCAGACUGGCCUGGGCAUUGUAGGUUUUUCGCCUUCCUCUCAGCAGCCCAGGGACCUGGUGGGUAGAUUAGGUUUUUGUCAUAGCUUGGCAGGUGCCCAGUUCAGAUGAUGGUUCCAUAGUGGCCCAGCUCCCUGACCUUGGAUUAGGAGAGGACAGCUCAUAAUGGAG